GAGGGGGUUGGUGAAAAGGUGACAGGGAGCUGCCCCCGCUCAAGAGCCAGAGGUUGGGGGUCUGAGAAGUCACCACUAUGAAGUUAUUCGCCUUCGGGAGCCGCAGGGGCCAGACGGCCCAGGGCUCUAUAGAACAUGUCUACACGGGUUCCGGAUACCGAAUCCGGGACUCCGAACUGCAGAAGAUCCACAGGGCAGCUGUCAAGGGCGACGCCGCGGGGGUGGAGCGCUGCCUGGCGCGCAGGAGCGGAGACCUGGACGCCCUGGACAAGCAGCACAGGCUGUCCAUUGCCAGGAAGAGGCUUGCGCCGUUAUUCUGCUGGAACAUGGCACCAAUCCAAACCUUAAGGAUAUCUACCGCAACACUGCUCUCCAGUAUGCUGUGUAUAGUGAGAGCACCUCACUGGCAGAAAAACUGCUUUUCCAUGGUGCAAAUAUUGAAGCACUGGACAAGGUAUAGAUCAAUCAACUUUCUUUCCAAAAUAUUUGUUUUAACAUUGACAUAGGUAAGGGUCAA
rnacentral:lncRNA from 1 species